rnacentral:pre_miRNA from 1 species
GGGGGGUGGCUGGAUCCUGGGCUGUGUCCUCAGCGCCUUGUGCUCCGGGGCCUGCGCUGUUGUAUUUGCGCUACCGGCCCCGCAGCCCCUU